rnacentral:rRNA from 1 species
UCCAAUCGAACUCGGAGAUAGCUGGUUCUCCUCGAAAUAGCUUUAGGGCUAGCCUUGAGGUAAAGUCUAAUGGAGGUAAAGCACUGAUUGGACGCGGGUCCCCAAAAGGAUACCAACUUCUAUCAAACUCAGAAUGCCAUAUAGAUAUACUCAGGAGUCAGACUAUGUGAGAUAAGUUUCAUAGUCAAAAGGGAAAGAGCCCAGACCGACAGCUAAGGUCCCAAAGUGUGUGUUAAGUGGAAAAGGAUGUUAGGUUUCUAAGACAACUAGGAUGUUGGCUCAGAAGCAGCCACUCAUUUAAAGAGUGCGUAACAGCUCACUAGUCGAGAGGUCUAGCGCCGAAAAUGUCCGGGGCUAAAACACACCACCGAAGCUACGGAAUUACCUAUGGUAAUUGGUAGAGGAGCAUUCUGUAAGGACGAAGCACAAUUGAAAGAGAGUGUGGACGAAACAGAAGAGAGAAUGCCGGAAUGAGUAGCGAGAUAUAUGUGAGAAUCAUAUAGGUCGAAUGUCUAAGGUUUCCUGGGUAAAGCUGAUCUGCUCAGGGUAAGUCGGGACCUAAGGUGAGGGCGAGAGCCGUAAUCGAUGGACAACAGGUAGAAAUUCCUGUACUACGUAUAAUCAGAACUGUGGGGACGCAGGAGGAUAGGAAAACCGGAGAAUGGAAAUAUCCGGCUAAGUACAAAGGUGUGAGUGAUAGGCAAAUCCGUCACUAUAAGCUGAAGUACGAAUGGGAGCGAAGAAAAGUAGCGAAGUUUCUGAAUCCACACUGUCAAGAAAAGCCGCUAUUGCGUUAUACGUACCCGUACCGCAAACCGACACAGGUAGACGAGGAGAAAAUCCACAGACCGACGGGAGAAGUGUUGUUAAGGAACUCGGCAAAAUGACCCCGUAACUUAGGGAUAAGGGGAGCCAACGCAAGUUGGUCACAGAAAAGAGGCUCAAGCGACUGUUUAGCAAAAACAUAGGUCUAUGCGAAACCGUAAGGUGAUGUAUAUGGGCUGACACCUGCCCGGUGCUGGAAGGUCAAAAGGAGAGGUUAGCGUAAGCGAAGCUUUGAAUUCAAGCCCCAGUAAACGGCGGCCGUAACUAUAACGGUCCUAAGGUAGCGAAAUUCCUUGUCAGGUAAGUUCUGACCCGCACGAAAGGUGUAACGAUUUGAGCACUGUCUCGACAACACGCCCGGUGAAAUUGAAGAACCAGUGAAGAUACUGGUUACCCGCAACAGGACGGAAAGACCCCAUGGAGCUUUACUGCAGCUUAAUAUUGGGAUUCGGUAUUGUAUGUACAGGAUAGGAGGGAGACUAAGAAGCUAGCACGCCAGUGUUGGUGGAGUCGAUGGUGGGAUACCUCUCUUAUAAUACUGAAUUUCUAACCUACUUCCGUGAUCCGGAAGAGGGACAUUGUUAGGCGGGCAGUUUGACUGGGGCGGUCGCCUCCGAAAGAGUAACGGAGGCGCUCAAAGGUCUUCUCAGAAUGAUUGGAAACCAUUCAAAGAGUGUAAAGGCAAAAGAAGGCUUGACUGCGAGAGUGACAACUCGAGCAGGUACGAAAGUAGGACUUAGUGAUCCGGUGGUAACAAGUGGGAGUGCCAUCGCUUAACGGAUAAAAGCUACCCUGGGGAUAACAGGCUUAUCUCCCCCAAGAGUUCACAUCGACGGGGAGGUUUGGCACCUCGAUGUCGGCUCAUCGCAUCCUGGGGCUGUAGUAGGUCCCAAGGGUUGGGCUGUUCGCCCAUUAAAGCGGUACGCGAGCUGGGUUCAGAACGUCGUGAGACAGUUCGGUCCCUAUCCGUUGUGGGCGUAGGAAAUUUGAUAGGAGCUGUCCUUAGUACGAGAGGACCGGGAUGGACGAACCUCUGGUGAAUCUGUUGGUAACCAAUGCCACAGCAGAAUAGCCAAGUUUGGAAUGGAUAAACGCUGAAGGCAUCUAAGCGUGAAGCCAACCUAAAGACUAGAUUUCCCAUGCGAAAGCAGUAAGACUCCUUGUAGACGACAAGGUUGAUAGGCCAGAGAUGUAAGCACAGUAAUGUGUUCAGUUGACUGGUACUAAUAAGUCGAGGGCUUGACCAA